rnacentral:lncRNA from 1 species
ACGAGAGAAAAGGGCACAGGUGGUCUUCUGACGUCUUGGUCAGCAUACAAUGUUAUGAAUAAUGAAGGGCUUCCUGUCAAAAUGCUUGAUCGGUUUCACGACAAAGGGGGUUCCAUUUUCUGAUCUUAAGGAUGAGAUGGGUUUGGCGCAGGAAGAAGGACGCCAAGGGAGGGAGCCUGGGCACCACCUGCCUGAGUACCUGGAGGGACAGCGCUCACCUCAAUGAGGUGACCUGGGCAGUCCAGUAACAGCAUGUGAUCCGGGCUGUUGUUGACGAGUUCCAGAUCUGCCUCUGGUACGGGGAGUCUGUUAGGAUUGGGCCUUUAAGAAAAAUGUGUGUGUUCCUUGUCGCUAAAAGCCUGAUGAUUGUUUAAUAAUAUUCUGGCCCAAGUUAUUUCACCCCGAUCACUCCCUGCUAUGUACACAGUAUCGAAAUUACAUUCAGAGAUUAAAAAAAAUUGUAGCAAUAUUUUUCCCACAAAAUUAAGUGCAAAAUAUCUUUAACAAAUAAUGAUGGCAGUAAGAAAUAUUCGACAUAGUCAUGCAAAAAUGCAUCUGAGCUUAGAAAGGUUUAGAACAUUUCCAAAAUAUGCUCUAGGUUUUCACAUGGCAAACCUUAUAAUCUUACUCAUUUUUCUUUGAAUUUAAAUGUGGCUGUUUGUGUAAAAGUCGGUAACAUGCAAGUUCUAUGAUCUCCAGUCCACCAAAUAUUCUCUCUUGCAGCACAAAGAUUACAAUGGUGAUUAUAAAAUACCACUUAACAAGACUGUACAAAUAUAUGAGUAGGCACAUUGCAGGGCACGCCGCGCGACGCCGAGUGGGGUGCGUGGGCAAGCUGGGGCUCCGUAGGGGUCACAACCUCCGUGCGGAACCCGCCGUUAAUUCAUCCCGUAAC